UACGAGUGCCCCAAGCGUUAUCCGGAAUUAUUGGGCGUAAAGGGUGUGUAGGUGGUUGUGUUAGUCUUCUGUCAAAUUCUUCGGCUUAACCGGGGUCCUGCAGAGGAAACGGCACGACUAGAGGAUGCGAGGGGUGAAUGGAACUCAUGGAGUAGGGGUGAAAUCCGUUGAUAUCAUGGGGAACACCGAAAGCGAAGGCAAUUCACUGGCGCAUUCCUGACACUGAAACACGAAAGCGUGGGUAGCGAACGGG
rnacentral:rRNA from 1 species